GGUCCCGUAGCUCAGCUGGAUAGAGCGUUCGCCUCCUAAGUGAAAGGUCGCAGAUUCGAAUUCUGCCGGGAUCACCA
rnacentral:tRNA from 1 species